rnacentral:lncRNA from 1 species
UUUCAAGGUUCUUGUCAUGUUAUGAAGUUUACUCUUGUCAGAAAUGUGCAUACAUCAGCUUCACCAGGAGAGUAGGGCACGUUUACUUUGUAUUGCGUGUGUAUUCUCUUGGUUACGUGACCAAAGUUCCUGCACUAUUGUUCAUAUCUUUAACCAAUAGCGAUGUUGCCGGAUUGCUUGCAGUUAUGUAAAUGAUAGAGAUGAAUGUAUAUGAUUAGCAAUGUGCCGGAUUGCUUGCAGUUAUGUAAAUGAUAGAGAUACGGCACCAAAUAGCUAUCAAAUAAAUACUACAUUCUACAGCAACUACAGGUUAGCUGCAGAUAUUGGCAAUCUAGGAUUUGAUGAAAAGUCAAAUUGUACAUACCUUGAAGUACUUAUGCAGCAUCCUAUUACUUCAUCUCAACUGAUCUAUACAACAUCUUCCGCAGACCGUAUGUAUAGAACAAAAUUGUAUACAACAACAUAUUCAUAAUGUACUGCAGCUACUGUGUUUCAGAGAACAGAAUCGUGUACAACGGCAUUUUACAUGACCCGUUCGCUCUCCAUGCUCAAACAGGAUACAACAUGAGCAUAAAAAGAGGUAAGGAAGUUAUGUAUAGAAGUGUCUAUAGCUAAGAACAUGCCACUCAACCGGCCAACCCAUUCAUUGAGGAAAGUUAGCUAUGACCAUUUAUUUCUAGUACGGUCUAAUAAUUUGCACUCCUCCCACUUAGCAGUAUGUGGAUCAAGAUCGCGAAGGUUGUCAACAAACUUAUUUCCCUCAUCUUGCCGAUUGUGCUUGCAGUACCGAUCUACAAUGGAGUUGUAUGCAUUUUGGUUAGGUUUGCACCCAUGCUUGAUCAUGUAACGUACCACAUCAAUGUCUUCAACAAACAAUGAAUCGGCUGCAUAACUUGCCAUAAAUGAGUUUGUUGAUCUACCAGUUGUCCAUGAACUGCAAGCAUGAUGUGAAAUUCAAUAUUGCAGCCUCUAGGAAAUACAGUUAUAGUGUAUCAUAUAAGGUUAUAUAAAUUCCUUAGCUUAUAAUGUACAUAUUCUUUGAUUGGAAGAUCCGCUACAAGCAUUAUAGAAAUUUGGUUCUGUUGAAUGGAAGUUAUGUUACUGAAGCAUUUACUUUGUUA